AGUGGCUGAGUUGUUAAGCGCUUGGUUUCAAACCUAGGGUCCUGGGUUAGAAUCUCGGUU
rnacentral:tRNA from 1 species